rnacentral:tRNA from 1 species
AGCUCGUCAGGCUCAUAACCUGAAGGUCACAGGUUCAAAUCCUGUCCCCGCAA